CCUACGGGUGGCUGCAGUGGGGAAUAUUGCACAAUGGGCGCAAGCCUGAUGCAGCCAUGCCGCGUGUGUGAAGAAGGCCUUCGGGUUGUAAAGCACUUUCAGCGGGGAGGAAGGCGGUGAGGUUAAUAACCUCAUCGAUUGACGUUACCCGCAGAAGAAGCACCGGCUAACUCCGUGCCAGCAGCCGCGGUAAUACGGAGGGUGCAAGCGUUAAUCGGAAUUACUGGGCGUAAAGCGCACGCAGGCGGUCUGUCAAGUCGGAUGUGAAAUCCCCGGGCUCAACCUGGGAACUGCAUUCGAAACUGGCAGGCUAGAGUCUUGUAGAGGGGGGUAGAAUUCCAGGUGUAGCGGUGAAAUGCGUAGAGAUCUGGAGGAAUACCGGUGGCGAAGGCGGCCCCCUGGACAAAGACUGACGCGCAGGUGCGAAAGCGUGGGGAGCAAACAGGAUUAGAUACCCUUGUAGUC
rnacentral:rRNA from 1 species